UGGGGAAUAUUGCCCAAUGGGCGCAAGCCUGAUGCAGCCAUGCCGCGUGUAUGAAGAAGGCCUUCGGGUUGUAAAGUACUUUCAGCGGGGAGGAAGGGAGUAACGUUAAUACCUUUCCUCAUUGACGUUACCUGCAGAAGAAGCACCGGCUAACUCCGUGCCAGCAGCCGCGGUAAUACGGAGGGUGCAAGCGUUAAACGGAAUUACUGGGCGUAAAGCGCACGCAGGCGGUUUGUUAAGUCAGAUGUGAAAUCCCCGGGCUCAACCUGGGAACGGCCUCUGAAACUGGCAAGCUUGGGUCUCGUAGAGGGGGGUAGAAUUCCAGGGGUAGCGGUAAAAUGCGGGGAAAACUGGAGGAAUACCGGUGGGGAAGGCGGCCCCCUGGACGAAGACUGACGCUCAGGUGCGAAAGCGUGGGGAGCAAACAGG
rnacentral:rRNA from 1 species